GACGAACGCUGGCGGCGUGCUUAACACAUGCAAGUCGAACGGAAAGGCCCUGUUUUUGUGGGGUGCUGGAGUGCCGCACGGGGGAGUAUCACGUGAGUAACCUGUGCUUGUCAUCGGGAGACCUCAAUGAGACACGGGCUCAUACAGGACAUGAGAUCCUGAAGCACGAUGGGGAAUGGAGAGUUUCGGCGGUUGGGGAAGCACUGCCGGUCCAUCGUCUUGUUGGCGGGGUAGUGGCUUACCAGCGCUUCGAGGGGUAGCCGGCCUGGGAAGGUGACCGGCCCCAAUGGGCCUGGGAUACGACCCAGACUCCUACGGGAGGCAGCAGUGGGAAAUAUUGCACGAUGGGCGGAAGCAUGAUGCAGCAACGCCGCGUGCGGGAUGACGGCCUUCGGGUUGUAAACCGCUUUAGCCUGUAACGAAGAGUGAGUGACGGUAAUUGGUAAAGAAGCACCGGCUAACUACGUG
rnacentral:rRNA from 1 species